GAGUUUAUCUGUAGUGCGAGUCUUUGCACGUUAACUGUAAAGGCGUAGAGAAAGCAACUGGCGUUUGCAUGGCUACUGAGCAUUACUGAUAGGACCCGAAAAGGUGGUGAACUUUGCCUGCACAGGUUGAAGUCAGGGGAAACUCUGAUGGAGGACCGUACGGGUUAUUGAUGUGCAAAUCAUUUUUCUGAUGUAGGUAAAGGUGCGAAAGACUCAUCGAACCACCUAAUAGCUGGUUUCCUCCGAAGUUUCCCUCAGGAUAGCUGUAAUGCAUUUAGUUAAGGGGAGUAGAGAUAUGGGUAGAGGUGCAGGGAGCCUUCGGGUUCUCAACUUAUUUCCAAACUUCGAACCUCCUUGUUAGGCAUUUACCUAACUGGAAAUGCUUAAAUGAAUUAGCGUUACAAGUGGGCUCUGACCGGUAAGCGGUCAUGGCGAAAUGGGAUGAACCAUACGUCUGAAUAAGGUGCCGAAAUGUACUAUCACUGAUACCAUAAAGGGAGUCCAUGUAUUUAGACAGCAGGUCGGUGCCCCUAAAAGCAGGUAUCCGCUAAAGAGUGUGUUAAAACUCACCUGCCGAAUACUAGGGCCCCGAAAAUGAAUGGCGCAUAUAGUACUACCGAUCUCAGACAUCAGUUCUAUUGAACUGAGAGUAGGGGGAUGUGGACAUUUUUGUGAAGGUGCAAUGUGAGUUGGACUGGAAGAAUGUCUAUUACAGAUCCUAAUUGAAGUAGCGAUUAUCCAGGCUUGUAUCCUGGGGGCUGAUGAGGAGUAGGGUUUCUGGACAACUUAAACAGAUCCAGAGUUAGUCGAUCCUAAUCUCAAUAAUGGGAGAAAGGGAGUACAGUUGAUAUUCUGUAACUGACAACAGUUCGCGGCAACGCAUACUAUUUUUCUCCGCCAAUCUUAUACCGUUGGUAGGGAUCUCUUUCCUACAUGACAGUACUAAUACCCAGGGAAACUGGUCAUCAGGCGAACUGCGGCGUUCUGCUGGCAAAACAUA
rnacentral:ncRNA from 2 species